GACGAACGCUGGCGGCGUGCUUAACACAUGCAAGUCGAACGGAAAGGCCCUGCUUUUGUGGGGUGCUCGAGUGGCGAACGGGUGAGUAACACGGGAGUAACCUGCCCUGGACUUUGGGAUAACUUCAGGAAACUGGGGCUAAUACCGGAUAGGAGCUCCUGCUGCAUGGUGGGGGUUGGAAAGUUUCGGCGGUUGGGGAUGGACUCGCGGCUUAUCAGCUUGUUGGUGGGGUAGUGGCUUACCAAGGCUUUGACGGGUAGCCGGCCUGAGAGGGUGACCGGCCACAUUGGGACUGAGAUACGGCCCAGACUCCUACGGGAGGCAGCAGUGGGGAAUAUUGCACAAUGGGCGGAAGCCUGAUGCAGCAACGCCGCGUGCGGGAUGACGGCCUUCGGGUUGUAAACCGCUUUCGCCUGUGACGAAGCGUGAGUGACGGUAAUGGGUAAAGAAGCACCGGCUAACUACGUG
rnacentral:rRNA from 1 species